CGUCCUUUCCUCUUCGGUCUUUUUUAUUCCAAUCUUUCUUUACUUACUUAGUACGUGAUUUUUACCCUCUUAACGUUGCAGUCGGUUUUUGGUUUUGCGUCGUGGUGCAUUUGUAUUUCGGAAGUUGAACGGUUUGCAUGUGAGUAAAUGGGCGUAUGCGUUUGACGACCUAAUCAGUUUAUACUUGUCUAGAAAGCAGAGUGCUGCAGCUGUCCCCUCAGAGUUCUUCUUCCUUCCGCCACCGCCACCGCCACCACCCCCUUCAUCUUCCUUCCGCGACUCCUCCUCCCCUUCCCCUUUCUUCCUCCCUCCCCCGCCACGCCCAACGUCCACUCAAGAUGGUCAUGCCCAUUAUUCUUCAGAAAGAUAGGAAAAUUAUAAGCGCCGUGAAGUGCUUAGACCCGCCUUUUGAAUUGCCACAAGAGUUGAACAUAACUUCUCUAGUUUCAACAAAAAAGAUAUCUAACCUUUCAAA